rnacentral:rRNA from 1 species
UGGGGAAUAUUGCACAAUGGGCGCAAGCCUGAUGCAGCCAUGCCGCGUGUGUGAAGAAGGCCUUCGGGUUGUAAAGCACUUUCAGCGAGGAGGAAGGUGGUGAACUUAAUACGUUCAUCAAUUGACGUUACUCGCAGAAGAAGCACCGGCUAACUCCGUGCCAGCAGCCGCGGUAAUACGGAGGGUGCAAGCGUUAAUCGGAAUUACUGGGCGUAAAGCGCACGCAGGCGGUUUGUUAAGUCAGAUGUGAAAUCCCCGGGCUCAACCUGGGAACUGCAUUUGAAACUGGCAAGCUAGAGUCUCGUAGAGGGGGGUAGAAUUCCAGGUNUAGCGGUGAAAUGCGUAGAGAUCUGGAGGAAUACCGGUGGCGAAGGCGGCCCCCCUGGACGAAGACUGACGCUCAGGUGCGAAAGCGUGGGGAGCAAAACAGGAUUAGAUACCCUGGUAGUCCACGCUGUAAACGAUGUCGAUUUUGGAGGUUGUGCCCUUGAGGCGUGGCUUCCGGAGCUAACGCGUUAAAUCGACCGCCUGGGGAGUACGGCCGCAAGGUUAAAACUUAAAUGAAUUGACGGGGUCAUAGCUGUUCC